UUGUAAAGAUACGAGGAGCCUGUAGGCAC
rnacentral:misc_RNA from 1 species